rnacentral:misc_RNA from 1 species
UCACCGCUUACACGGGCAGUUUCCCUAGGAAGCCCUAUCUCUAGGGAUGUCAGAGGCAUUCUAGCCCAGGUAAGGUUCUUCGCGUUGCGUCGAAUUAAACCACAUGCUCCACCGCUUGUGCGGGCCCCCGUCAAUUCCUUUGAGUUUCAGCCUUGCGGCCGUACUCCCCAGGCGGGGCACUUAUCGCGUUAGCUGCGGCACCGAAGGGGUCGCUCCCCCCGGCACCUAGUGCCCAUCGUUUACGGCGUGGACUAC